GACACGGUCCAAACUCCUACGGGAGGCAGCAGUGAGGAAUAUUGGUCAAUGGGCGAUGGCCUGAACCAGCCAAGUAGCGUGAAGGAUGACUGCCCUAUGGGUUGUAAACUUCUUUUAUAAAGGAAUAAAGUCGGGUAUGCAUACCCGUUUGCAUGUACUUUAUGAAUAAGGAUCGGCUAACUCCGUGCCAGCAGCCGCGGUAAUACGGAGGAUCCGAGCGUUAUCCGGAUUUAUUGGGUUUAAAGGGAGCGUAGGUGGAUUGUUAAGUCAGUUGUGAAAGUUUGCGGCUCAACCGUAAAAUUGCAGUUGAAACUGGCAGUCUUGAGUACAGUAGAGGUGGGCGGAAUUCGUGGUGUAGCGGUGAAAUGCUUAGAUAUCACGAAGAACUCCGAUUGCGAAGGCAGCUUACUAACCUGUAACUGACAUUGAUGCUCGAAAGUGUGGGUAUCAAACAGGAUUAGAUACCCUGGUAGUCCACACGGUAAACGAUGAAUACUCGCUGUUUGCGAUAUACGGCAAGCGGCCAAGCGAAAGCGUUAAGUAUUCCACCUGGGGAGUACGCCGGCAACGGUGAAACUCAAAGGAAUUGACGGGGGCCCGCACAAGCGGAGGAACAUGUGGUUUAAUUCGAUGAUACGCGAGGAACCUUACCCGGGUUUGAACGCAUUCGGACCGAGGUGGAAACACCUUUUCUAGCAAUAGCCGUUUGCGAGGUGCUGCAUGGUUGUCGUCAGCUCGUGCCGUGAGGUGUCGGCUUAAGUGCCAUAACGAGCGCAACCCUUGUUGUCAGUUACUAACAGGUGAUGCUGAGGACUCUGACAAGACUGCCAUCGUAAGAUGUGAGGAAGGUGGGGAUGACGUCAAAUCAGCACGGCCCUUACGUCCGGGGCUACACACGUGUUACAAUGGGGGGUACAGAGGGCUGCUACCACGCAAGUGGAUGCCAAUCCCAAAAACCUCUCUCAGUUCGGAUCGAAGUCUGCAACCCGACUUCGUGAAGCUGGAUUCGCUAGUAAUCGCGCAUCAGCCAUGGCGCGGUGAAUACGUUCCCGGGCCUUGUACACACCGCCCGUCAAGCCAUGGGAGCCGGGGGUACCUGAAGUCCGUAACCGCGAGGAUCGGCCUAGGGUAAAACUGGUGACUGGGGCUAAGUCGUAACAAGGUAGCCGUACCGGAAGGUGCGGCUG
rnacentral:rRNA from 1 species